GACGAACGCUGGCGGCGUGCUUAACACAUGCAAGUCGAACGGAAAGGCCCUGCUUUUGUGGGGUUCUCGAGUGGCGAACGGGUGAGUAACACGUGAGUAACCUGCCCUUGUCUUUGGGAUAACUUCAGGAAACUCGGGCUAAUACCGGAUAGGAUCUCCUGCUGCAUGGUGUGGGUUGGUAAGUUUCGGCGGUUGGGGAUGGACUCGCGGCUUAUCAGCUUGUUGGUGGGGUAGUGGCUUUCCAAGGCUUUGACGGGUAGCCGGCCUGAGAGGGUGACCGGCCACAAUGGGACUGCGAUACGGCCCAGACUCCUACGGGAGGCAGCAGUGGGGAAUAUUGCACAAUGGGCGGAAGCCUGAUGCAGCAACGCCGCGUGCGGGAUGACGGCCUUCGGGUUGUAAACCGAUUUCGCAUGUGACGAAGCGUGAGUGACGGUAAUGGGUAAAGAAGCACCGGCUAACUACGUG
rnacentral:rRNA from 1 species